rnacentral:rRNA from 1 species
CCUACGGGUGGCAGCAGUGAGGAAUAUUGGUCAAUGGACGAAAGUCUGAACCAGCCAUGCCGCGUGCAGGAAGACGGCUCUAUGAGUUGUAAACUGCUUUUGUACAAGGGUAAACCUGAAUACGUGUAUUCAGCUGAAAGUACUGUACGAAUAAGGAUCGGCUAACUCCGUGCCAGCAGCCGCGGUAAUACGGAGGAUCCAAGCGUUAUCCGGAUUUAUUGGGUUUAAAGGGUGCGUAGGCGGAUUGAUAAGUGAGAGGUGAAAUGUCCGGGCUCAACUCGGGAACUGCCUCUAAUACUGUUGAGCUAGAGAGUAGAUGCGGUAGGCGGAAUGUAAGGUGUAGCGGGGAAAUGCUUAGAGAUCAUACAGAACACCGAUUGCGAAGGCAGCUUACCAAGCUAUAUCUGACGUUGAGGCACGAAAGCGUGGGGAGCAAACAGGAUUAGAUACCCUUGUAGUC